CAACAUCAGGGUCUUUUCCAGGAAGUCUUCUCUUCUCAUGAGGUGGCUAAAGUAUUGGAGUCUCAGCUUCAGGAUCUGUCCUUCCAGUGAGUACUCAGGGCUGAUUUCCUUAAGAAUGGAUAGGUUUGAUCUUCUUGCAGUCCAUGGGACUCUCAAGAGUCUCCUCCAACACCAUAAUUCAAAAACAUCAAUUCUUUGGUGAUCAGCCUUCUUUAUGGUCCAGCUCUCACUUCCAUACAUCACUAUGCACAUGAGUAGUCCUAUUUAAAACCACAGUUCAUUUGUGUUCCACGCUGAACAAGCGCAGAGGCUUCAAGACCAUGCGGUCCCCACAGUGUGGUGGCGUGUAGCCUCUGGCAACAAAUGACGUGUGAGAAUGACAAAACAUUGAUGCGUCUUUAAGGCUGCAAGCCUCUAAUGAAAUGAAAUUGCAAGUGAAAACAGAAUUUUGCCUUGCAGCCUGAACUCAGGGCCAGCCCAAAGCAUUUUGUUGCAAAUGGUGGCCCUACCUUGUCAUUUCUAUUUUAUUUAUUCAUUUUAUACCCCACCCUUCCUCCCAAGGAGCCCAAGGCAGCAGAUGUCACUGUGAUAGAGUAAAAACAAAAAAAAUAUAAAAACAGUUAAAUACAUUCUUCCACAAAUGAGGAGCUGCUACUGAAAAGGCCCUGUUGCAGGUCAGUGCCAAUGGUGUGCAGCUGCUAAGUUAAUUUUAUCCGUAAGCCACCUUGAGUCCCAUCAGGGGAAAAGGCACAGUAUAAAUAUAUAUAAUAAUAAAUUUAGUUGUUUUUGUACUCAAGGCAGAAAAUCCAGAAGCCCUUCUCACCCGUGAC